CCAAUAUAUAUAUAUAUAUAUAUAUAUAUAUAUAUUGAUUUGAUUUGUUCGUCUUAAACCCAUCGAGUGCCCCAGCAUGGCCACCGAAAGGAUCAAGGAAAAAUUAAAGAAUAAAAAAACAAAUUUCCAGUGUCUCAUUGAAAGAAGCGAUCGUGGAUGUAGCCUACAUUUAAGAGAUGCAUUUUGGCAAAUUGGUUCUGUCCAGCUUGUAAGGUUUCUUCUUAGUGACUCGUUUCUUGAACGUGGUUUCGCAUCGGAAUGUAAUCAGCUGUUUGAGUCAGAGAAGCUCUCUUGAAAGGAUGGAAUAAUUUACCUGUUCUUGAAGUUCCAAAACGGGAUUUUAAAUUCUUCAAUUGAACCAUCAACGUCUUCAAUUUCAUAUAAAACUUCACUGAACGCAACUAUAACAAUUUCGACUUCAUCAUCGUCACUUCCCGUGUUCUCAUCUCUUGAUUCUUCAAUAAAAUCUUGUUUAUGAUGUUUAA